AUGGCACACCAAGCACAUUCUUACCACAUAGUAGACCCAAGCCCAUGACCUAUUUUUGGGGCCGCCGCCGCCCUCCUCACCACUUCAGGCCUAACAAUGUGAUUCCACUACCAUGCCCCCCAACUCCUAAUCAUCGGCCUCAUCUCAACCCUCCUAGUAAUAUUCCAAUGAUGACGAGAUAUUGUACGAGAAAGCACCUUCCAAGGACACCACACCCCCCUCGUUCAAAAAGGACUACGAUAUGGCAUGGUCUUAUUCAUCACAUCAGAGGCCUUCUUCUUCCUAGGCUUUUUCUGGGCAUUCUUCCACUCAAGCCUAGCCCCCACCCCAGAACUAGGAGGACAAUGACCUCCUGUCGGAAUCAAGCCCCUAGACCCAAUAGACGUACCCCUUCUAAACACUGCCAUCCUCCUAGCCUCGGGUGUCACCGUUACAUGAGCCCACCACAGCAUCACAGAGGCAAACCGAAAGCAAGCAAUCCAAGCCCUCGCCCUAACCGUCCUCCUAGGAUUCUACUUCACCGCCCUCCAAGCUAUAGAAUACUACGAAGCCCCAUUCUCCAUUGCAGACGGCGUCUAUGGCUCAACCUUCUUUGUCGCCACAGGAUUCCACGGACUACAUGUAAUCAUCGGCUCCACAUUCCUCCUAGUAUGCCUCCUACGCCUCAUUAAAUACCACUUUACCUCAAACCACCAUUUCGGCUUCGAGGCAGCAGCAUGAUACUGACACUUCGUAGAUGUUGUAUGACUAUUCCUCUACAUCUCUAUCUACUGAUGAGGAUCCUGCUCUUCUAGUAUAUCCAUUACAAUCGACUUCCAAUCCUUAGAAUCUGGUUAAACCCCAGAGAAGAGCAAUGAAUAUAAUCCUAUUCAUAAUUAUCCUAUCUUUAACACUAAGCAUGGCCCUAACCACCCUAAACUUCUGACUCGCCCAAAUAAACCCAGACUCAGAAAAACUAUCCCCAUACGAAUGCGGAUUUGACCCACUAGGAUCCGCCCGCCUUCCCUUCUCUAUUCGAUUCUUCCUAGUGGCCAUCCUAUUCUUACUCUUCGACCUUGAAAUUGCCCUCCUACUCCCCCUGCCAUGAGCAACCCAACUCCAAUCCCCCACCACUACGCUAGCCUGAGCCUCAACCCUAAUCCUCCUCCUCACACUAGGCCUAAUCUACGAAUGAACCCAAGGGGGCCUAGAGUGAGCAGAGUAACAGAAAGCUAGUCUAACCAAGACAGUUGAUUUCGGCUCAACAAAUUAUAGUACACACCCUAUAGCUUUCUUCAUGUCUUACUUACACCUAAGCUUCUAUGCAGCCUUUACACUCAGCAGCCUUGGCCUAGCCUUUCACCGAACCCAUCUAAUUUCAGCCCUAUUAUGUUUAGAAAGCAUGAUACUAUCCAUGUAUGUCGCCCUAGCCAUAUGACCCAUUCAAAUACAAACACCAUCCCACACCAUUAUUCCCAUCCUCAUAUUAACAUUCUCCGCCUGCGAAGCAGGCACAGGCCUAGCACUACUAGUCGCCUCCACCCGGACCCACGGAUCCGACCACCUCCACAACUUCAACCUCCUACAAUGCUAAAAAUCAUCGUACCAACAGUCAUGCUCCUCCCCCUAACCUUCUUAUCCCCAUGCAAACACCUGUGAACUAACAUUACAACCCACAGCCUACUAAUCGCUACCAUCAGCCUCCAAUGACUAGUCCCAACAUACUACCCAAACAAAACCUCCACCUUAUGAUCCUCUAUCGAUCAAAUCUCCUCCCCCCUACUAGUUCUAUCGUGCUGACUCCUACCCCUCAUAAUCCUAGCGAGUCAAAAUCACCUGGAACAGGAACCCACCAUCCGCAAACGAAUCUUUGCCUCAACAAUAAUCCUAGCCCAACCAUUCAUCCUCCUCGCCUUCUCUGCCUCAGAACUCAUAUUAUUCUACAUCGCAUUCGAAGCCACCCUAAUCCCCACCCUGAUCCUCAUUACACGAUGAGGGAGCCAACCAGAGCGACUAAAUGCUGGCAUCUACCUCCUCUUCUACACACUCGCCAGCUCCCUCCCCCUACUCAUUGCCAUCAUUCACCUCCACAACCAAAUCGGCACCCUAUUCUUCCCCAUACUCAAACUAUCUCACCCCACAAUCCUAUCCUCCUGAUCCGGCCUAAUGUCAAGCCUGGCCCUGCUCAUAGCCUUCAUAGUCAAAGCCCCAUUAUAUGGGUUACACCUAUGACUGCCCAAAGCCCAUGUAGAAGCCCCAAUCGCAGGCUCAAUACUACUAGCAGCCCUACUCCUAAAACUAGGAGGCUACGGCAUUAUACGAAUCACCCUCCUGGUAAACCCCGCAACAAACAACCUACACUACCCCUUUAUCACCCUAGCCCUAUGAGGAGCGCUAAUAACCAGUGCCAUCUGCUUACGCCAAACAGACCUAAAAUCACUGAUCGCAUACUCCUCUGUCAGCCACAUAGGACUGGUUGUAGCCGCAACCAUGAUUCAAACUCAAUGGGCCUUCUCAGGAGCAAUAAUUCUAAUAAUCUCACAUGGCCUUACCUCCUCAAUGCUAUUCUGCCUAGCCAACACCAACUACGAACGUACUCACAGCCGAAUCCUCAUCCUAGCCCGAGGCCUCCAACCACUACUGCCUCUCAUGGCCACCUGAUGACUCCUAGCUAACCUAGCAAACAUAGCCCUCCCCCCAACCAUCAACCUAAUAGCUGAACUAACCAUUAUCAUCGCCCUCUUCAACUGAUCCAAUCUAACACUCAUCCUCACAGGGGCCGCAAUCCUACUAACCGCCUCAUACACCCUGUACAUACUUACAAUAACACAACGAGGCACACUACCAUCCCACAUCACAUCCAUUCAAAACUCCUCUACACGAGAACACCUCCUCAUAGCCCUCCACAUAAUUCCCAUACUCCUCCUAAUCCUAAAACCAGAACUAAUUUCAGGCACCCCCAUAUGCAAGUAUAGUUUCAACCCAAACAUUAGACUGUGAUUCUAAAAAUAGAAGUUAGACCCUUCUUACUUGCCGAGGGGAGGUCAAACCAACGAGAACUGCUAAUUCUUGUAUCUGAGACUAAGCCCUCAGUCCCCUUACUUCCAAAGGAUAACAGUAAUCCAAUGGUCUUAGGAACCACUCAUCUUGGUGCAAAUCCAAGUGGAAGUAAUGGACCUAUCAUUAGUCCUAAACACAUUUAUACUACUUACCCUAGCAACCUUAUCCACCCCUAUCAUCUUCCCUUUACUCUCAGACAACCUCAAAAACACCCCCACCAUCAUCACAAACACAGUUAAGACCGCCUUCAUAACCAGCCUAGUCCCCAUAACAAUCCACCUACACUCAGGGACAGAAAGCCUAACAUCCCUCUGAGAAUGAAAAUUCAUCAUAAACUUUAAAAUCCCAAUUAGCCUGAAGCUAGACCUAUACUCCCUUACAUUCUUCCCAAUCGCCCUAUUCGUCUCUUGAUCCAUCUUACAGUUCGCAACAUGAUACAUAGCAUCAGACCCUCACAUCACAAAAUUCUUCACCUACCUCCUACUCUUCCUAAUCGCAAUACUCAUUCUAAUCGUCGCUAAUAACCUAUUUGUCCUAUUCAUCGGCUGAGAAGGAGUAGGAAUCAUAUCCUUCCUACUAAUCAGCUGAUGACACGGACGAGCAGAAGCCAACACCGCCGCCCUCCAAGCCGUGCUGUUCAACCGAGUCGGGGACAUUGGCCUUAUCCUCUGCAUAGCAUGACUUGCAUCCACCAUAAACACCUGAGAAAUCCAACAAGCCACCAUACCCCACCAAACCCCAACCCUACCACUCCUAGGCCUCAUCCUAGCCGCAACAGGCAAAUCCGCCCAAUUCGGCCUACACCCAUGACUCCCAGCAGCCAUAGAAGGCCCAACCCCCGUAUCCGCCCUACUCCACUCCAGCACAAUAGUGGUCGCCGGAAUUUUCCUACUCAUCCGAACCCACCCACUACUCAGCAACAACCAAACUGCCCUGACCCUAUGCCUAUGCCUCGGCGCCCUAUCUACACUAUUUGCUGCCACAUGUGCCCUCACACAAAAUGACAUUAAAAAAAUCAUUGCCUUCUCCACUUCAAGUCAACUAGGCCUCAUAAUAGUUACAAUCGGACUAAACCUCCCCCAACUAGCCUUCCUCCACAUCUCAACCCACGCAUUCUUCAAAGCUAUACUAUUCCUAUGUUCCGGAUCCAUCAUCCACAGCCUAAAUGGCGAACAAGACAUUCGAAAAAUGGGAGGCCUCCAAAAACUACUACCCACAACCACCUCAUGUUUAACUAUCGGCAACCUGGCCCUAAUAGGAACACCUUUCCUAGCCGGCUUCUACUCAAAAGACCAAAUCAUUGAAUGCCUCAACACAUCCUACCUAAACUCCUGAGCCCUACUACUAACCCUCCUAGCUACAUCCUUCACCGCAGUAUACACAAUCCGCAUGACCAUACUGGUACAAGCUGGCUUUGUACGAAUCCCCCCUCUAGCCCCAAUCAACGAAAACAACCCAGCAGUAAUCUCCCCCAUCACCCGCCUAGCACUAGGAAGCAUCACAGCCGGGUUCAUCAUCACCUCCUUUAUCCUUCCAACAAAAACCCCGCCCAUAACCAUACCCUUACACAUCAAAAUCACAGCCCUAAUUGUCACAGCCCUAGGCGUCAUCCUAGCCCUAGAAAUCUCAAAAAUAACCCAAACCCUAAUCCUUACAAAACAAGGCCCCUUCUCAAACUUCUCCACAUCACUAGGAUACUUUAACCCCCUAAUCCACCGAUUCAACGUAACAACCAUCCUAGCCGGGAGCCAAAACAUUGCCUCCCACCUAAUCGACCUAUCCUGAUACAAAAUAUUAGGCCCAGAGGGCUUAGCCUCCCUACAAGCAACAGCAGCCAAAACUGCCACCACCUUCCAUUCCGGCCUAAUCAAAGCCUACCUAGGGUCCUUUGCACUCUCCAUCCUGAUCAUCCUCAUAUCCACAUACAGAACCCCCAAAUGGCCCUCAAUCUUCGUAAAAACCACCCACUACUCAAAACCAUCAACGAUGCCCUAAUCGACCUCCCCACACCAUCAAACAUUUCUACUUGAUGAAAUUUUGGAUCUCUAUUGGGCAUCUGCCUUGUCACACAAAUCGUCACCGGCCUGCUUCUAGCCACACACUACACAGCAGAUACUUCCCUAGCCUUCAACUCAGUCGCCCACAUGUGUCGAAAUGUCCAAUUCGGCUGAUUAAUCCGAAACCUACACGCAAACGGAGCCUCAUUCUUCUUCAUCUGCAUCUACCUCCACAUCGGCCGAGGAUUCUACUACGGCUCGUACCUAAACAAAGAAACCUGAAACAUCGGAGUUAUCCUCCUCCUAGCCCUUAUAGCAACCGCCUUCGUAGGCUACGUACUUCCCUGAGGACAAAUAUCAUUCUGAGGAGCUACAGUAAUUACCAACCUAUUCUCAGCAAUCCCCUAUAUUGGCCAAACACUAGUUGAAUGAGCUUGAGGCGGGUUCUCAGUUGACAAUCCCACGCUAACACGAUUCUUCGCCCUCCACUUCCUCCUCCCAUUCGUCAUCGCAGGCCUAACACUAGUUCACCUCACCUUCCUACACGAAACAGGAUCAAACAACCCAUUAGGAAUCCCUGCAGACUGCGAUAAAAUUCCCUUCCACCCAUACUACUCCACAAAAGACAUCCUAGGAUUCGCACUAAUACUUAUCCUCCUCGCCUCCAUAGCCCUAUUCUCCCCUAACAUACUAGGAGACCCAGAAAACUUCACCCCGGCCAAUCCCCUAGCUACACCCCCACACAUCAAACCCGAAUGAUACUUCCUAUUCGCAUAUGCCAUCCUACGAUCCAUCCCAAACAAACUAGGAGGAGUCCUAGCCCUAGCCGCCUCCGUCUUAGUCCUAUUUUUAGUCCCAUUACUCCACAAAUCCAAACAACGCUCAAUAACCUUUCGGCCCCUGUCCCAAAUUCUCUUCUGAACCCUAGUUGCAAACCUCCUAAUCCUCACUUGAGUAGGAAGCCAACCAGUCGAACAUCCAUUCAUCAUCAUCGGCCAACUAGCUUCAAUCUCCUACUUCACAAUCAUUCUAGUCCUAUUCCCACUCGCAGCUGUACUAGAAAAUAAAAUGCUAAAAUUAUAA